CGUAAAGAGCUCGUAGGCGGUUUGUCGCGUCUGCUGUGAAAGCCCGGGGCUCAACCCCGGGUCUGCAGUGGGUACGGGCAGACUAGAGUGCAGUAGGGGAGACUGGAAUUCCUGGUGUAGCGGUGAAAUGCGCAGAUAUCAGGAGGAACACCGAUGGCGAAGGCAGGUCUCUGGGCUGUUACUGACGCUGAGGAGCGAAAGCAUGGGGAGCGAACAGGAUUAGAUACCCUGGUAGUCCAUGCCGUAAACGUUGGGCACUAGGUGUGGGGGACAUUCCACGUUCUCCGCGCCGUAGCUAACGCAUUAAGUGCCCCGCCUGGGGAGUACGGCCGCAAGGCUAAAACUCAAAGGAAUUGACGGGGGCCCGCACAAGCGGCGGAGCACGCGGAUUAAUUCGAUGCAACGCGAAGAACCUUACCAAGGCUUGACAUUCACCGGACUACCCCAGAGAUGGGGUUUCCCUUCGGGGUCGGUGGACAGGUGGUGCAUGGUUGUCGUCAGCUCGUGUCGUGAGAUGUUGGGUUAAGUCCCGCAACGAGCGCAACCCUCGUUCUAUGUUGCCAGCACGUGAUGGUGGGGACUCAUAGGAGACUGCCGGGGUCAACUCGGAGGAAGGUGGGGAUGACGUCAAAUCAUCAUGCCCCUUAUGUCUUGGGCUUCACGCAUGCUACAAUGGCCGGUACAAAGGGUUGCGAUACUGUGAGGUGGAGCUAAUCCCAAAAAGCCGGUCUCAGUUCGGAUUGAGGUCUGCAACUCGACCUCAUGAAGUCGGAGUCGCUAGUAAUCGCAGAUCAGCA
rnacentral:rRNA from 1 species